rnacentral:rRNA from 1 species
GAUGAACGCUGGCGGCGUGCCUCAAACAUGCAAGUCGAGCGGGGCUAUGUAAUAUCGCAAGGUAGAACAUAGCCUAGCGGCGAACGGGUGAGUAACACGUGGGUAACCUGCCUGGAAGACAGGGAUAACGAUUCGAAAGGGUCGCUAAUACCUGAUAAUAUCCUUUCAUCGCAUGGUGAUAGGAAGAAAGGGGAAACCCGCUUUCAGAUGGGCCCGCGUCCCAUCAGCUAGUUGGUAAGGUAAAGGCUUACCAAGGCGACGACGGGUAGCCGGUCUGAGAGGAUGUACGGCCACACUGGGGACUGAGAUACGGCCCAGACUCCUACGGGAGGCAGCAGUUGGGAAUCUUAGGCAAUGGACGAAAGUCUGACCUAGCGACGCCGCGUGAGGGAAGAAGGCCUUCGGUUGUAACCGUCUGUCAUGGGGAGAAGUAAGUGACGGUACCCGAACGAGGAAGCCCUGCCUAACUACGUGCCAGCAGCCGCGGUAAGUACGUACUACUACUCGUAGUAGGCGGUC